UGCGCGCGAAAGUUCAUCGUUCUUUAAAACUGAAAUCGCUCUGACGAGAAGUUUGAUGAUUUUAGGGCUCGAAGUUAAUGGCGGCUCACGAUGCUGUAAGAUGACGCAGAUUUUGUACGAGUUCCUACAGUCUUCUUUUUACUUGAUUUCAGAAUUUCGAGGAUGAUUUCGUGUAAGCAGUGGUUUAUGCUGAUGCGUGAACCGAGUAUCUUCUGAACAAAAUUUAUCGGUAUGUAUUUUGAUGAACCUUUUAGUUUUACUGAGUUGAACUUGUGAAUCAAUUUAUUAAAUAACCAUACAACGAACUUGUUCUUGUCUGGAUUCCAUACUUCUAAUAUCUUUCAUUUUUAAGUAUUAUAAUUAUAGUGAUGUGUUCUUUAUUUAA